GUCCUGCUGAGCGGAUGCAACGAUGGGGCUAGGAUACCUGUGUGUUAAGUGGCCUGAAGCUAUUGACUCGCUACAAACCUAAGGAGGCAUUGGAAAUAGUGCUCUGUCCACCCCCGCUGCUUACUCCAUCCGCGUGUGUCUCCUUUGAUUUCCUUCGACCCCCAAACGCAGACCAUCCAGAACCCUUUUAUUCUUUUCCUACAACAACCAGGACCGGCAGGACACACGCUUGGUGGUUGUGGAACUUUCCAUGGAACUGAACCAUCGUUACUCAAACACAGUGUCAUUACUACAGGGUGUAAGAGCUCUCUCACUAGAUGGUGUUCUUACUCUGGGUAGGCUGCAGCCUUGAUCCUGGCGAAACUAGGGUGGAGAGGGACCAGGGAAGUCACGCACAGCAAAACCCCUUCCUCUUAGCCAC
ensembl:lncRNA